GACAGAGGCCCCAAGCGUUAGGCGGAAUCACUGGGCUUAAAGCGCGUGUAGGCGGGUCGUUAAGUGUCCGCGUGAAAUCCCACGGCUCAACCGUGGAACUGCCGGGCAUACUGGCGAUCUUGAGGCAUUCAGGGGCGAGCGGAACAAAUGGUGGAGCGGUGAAAUGCGUAGAUAUCAUUUGGAACGCCAAUGGUGAAAACAGCUCGCUGGGAAUGAUCUGACGCUGAGACGCGAAAGCCAGGGGAGCGAACGGG
rnacentral:rRNA from 1 species